rnacentral:rRNA from 2 species
AUGCAGUCGACGCACUCUCGUUGAUUGAAGAAGCUUGCUCUGAUUGAUAACAUUGAGUGAGUGGCGGACGGGUGAGUAACACGUGGGUAACCUGCCCUAAAGUGGGGGAUAACAUUUGGAAACAGAUGCUAAUACCGCAUAAAACCUAGCACCGCAUGGUGCAAGGUUGAAAGAUGGUUUCGGCUAUCACUUUAGGAUGGACCCGCGGUGCAUUAGUUAGUUGGUGAGGUAAAGGCUCACCAAGACCGUGAUGCAUAGCCGACCUGAGAGGGUAAUCGGCCACACUGGGACUGAGACACGGCCCAGACUCCUACGGGAGGCAGCAGUAGGGAAUCUUCCACAAUGGACGAAAGUCUGAUGGAGCAACGCCGCGUGAGUGAAGAAGGUUUUCGGAUCGUAAAACUCUGUUGUUGGAGAAGAACGUAUUUGAUAGUAACUGAUCAGGUAGUGACGGUAUCCAACCAGAAAGCCACGGCUAACUACGUGCCAGCAGCCGCGGUAAUACGUAGGUGGCAAGCGUUGUCCGGAUUUAUUGGGCGUAAAGCGAGCGCAGGCGGUUUCUUAAGUCUGAUGUGAAAGCCUUCGGCUCAACCGAAGAAGUGCAUCGGAAACUGGGAAACUUGAGUGCAGAAGAGGACAGUGGAACUCCAUGUGUAGCGGUGAAAUGCGUAGAUAUAUGGAAGAACACCAGUGGCGAAGGCGGCUGUCUGGUCUGUAACUGACGCUGAGGCUCGAAAGCAUGGGUAGCAAACAGGAUUAGAUACCCUGGUAGUCCAUGCCGUAAACGAUGAGUGCUAGGUGUUGGAGGGUUUCCGCCCUUCAG